ACUGUCCAUGUAUUAUAGUAACACCAUUCAAAAUGAUAUCACAAAAAAAUUUUUUAUUAAUAUUUUAUAAUUUAAUUUCGCCAAAAGGCCUGCAAAAAUAAUAUUUUAAAAAAAAAAUUGGAUAGUAAUAACAUUCAUUUAGAACAAUAAAAUGAGACUUGAAUACAAGCUUGAUAAUUUUUAAAGCUAGAAUUGAAACUGAUCCUCCAUCUCCAACGUUCAGGAAUCUCUCGUCGUCUCCAAAUCUCCUACUGACUUGA
rnacentral:lncRNA from 1 species